GAUGAACGCUGGCGGCGUGCCUAAUACAUGCAAGUCGAGCGAACAGACGAGGAGCUUGCUCCUCUGACGUUAGCGGCGGACGGGUGAGUAACACGUGGAUAACCUACCUAUAAGACUGGGAUAACUUCGGGAAACCGGAGCUAAUACCGGAUAAUAUAUUGAACCGCAUGGUUCAAUAGUGAAAGACGGUUUUGCUGUCACUUAUAGAUGGAUCCGCGCCGCAUUAGCUAGUUGGUAAGGUAACGGCUUACCAAGGCGACGAUGCGUAGCCGACCUGAGAGGGUGAUCGGCCACACUGGAACUUAGACACGGUCCAGACUCCUGCGGGAGGCAGCAGUAGGGAAUCUUCCGCAAUGGGCGAAAGCCUGACGGAGCAACGCCGCGUGAGUGAUGAAGGUCUUCGGAUCGUAAAACUCUGUUAUUAGGGAAGAACAAAUGUGUAAGUAACUAUGCACGUCUUGACGGUACCUAAUCAGAAAGCCACGGCUAACUACGUG
rnacentral:rRNA from 1 species